UACAGAGACCUCAAGCGUUAUCCGGAAUCAUUGGGCGUAAAGCGUACCGAUAGGUGGUCUAAAAUGUCAGAAGUGAAAUCUCAAGGCUCAACUUUGAGACUGUCUUUUGAAACUUUUAGACUAGAGGGGCAAAGAGGAAGCUGGAACGAACGGUGUAGUAGUGAAAUGCGUUGAUAUCGUUCGGAACACCAAUAGCGAAGGCGGGCUUCUGGGUGCCACCUGACACUGCUAGGACGAAAGCGUGGGGAGCGAAUGGG
rnacentral:rRNA from 1 species